GACUCGGAGCCGGGCGGACUUGCAGGCGGCCGGGGGACCGCGGCUGCUGGGCGACCUCGGAGCCCUCGAAGCCCUCUGAGCCGCUCGGGCGGGCGCGGCGGUGGGAGCCCGGCGAGGCGGCCUCCUCGGCGAGCCCGGACUAGCAGGUGCCGCUCACGCUGGGCUGAGCGCACGCACACGCACACGCAGACGGGCAGGGCGCGGGCUAGCGGGGACCGCGCGGGGCGGGCCGGAGGCGCGCAGCUGCCGCCGCCGCCGCCGCCGCCACCUCCGCCGCUGCUGGUACUGCCGCUGGUGCUGAUGCUGCGGGCGCUCCGCCAAAGAAGAACAGCUCAGGGAUGUUCAGCGGAGGCAUCAGAGGGCACAUAACUUGCUGCCCACUGCAAAGUUGCCACUUGCCACUUCCUUAUUAUCCGGCUUUCAUCUCCAGGCUGCAAGUCCAAGGAGAGGAUCGAGGCAGACAAGUGAGUCCAUUGUGUGAGUGUUUGCCCGGCAGCAGGCACCUGGAGAUGGUCGAGAGGGGGAGAUGUGCACCACUCACCAGAAGGCUGCUAAAGAUCAGCUACAAGCCAGGCGGCUGAGCAGUGCUUUGGAAGGUGGAAGAGAAACAAGGAGUUCACCAAGCAUCUGCUGAGGGAUGCCUGUCCCUGGAACAAAGAUGCUAUCAGCCAAUCACUGACUGCUUUGGGAUUCUUCUAGUGCUGCCUGUUGCAGAAUCAGCUUUCUGGGCUCUGCAAUGAAUUAAUUUUUCUUCAUCUUUCAUAAACUAUUCUAUCAAAACCUUCUCUCCGUAUUGCUUUGAAUGUGGUUUGCACAAAAUUAGUUGCCACGUCUGUAUUAUGAAAUACAAAUAAAUAGUUUUGUUGUCUCUCA
rnacentral:lncRNA from 1 species